rnacentral:misc_RNA from 1 species
GAUGAAGAACGCAGUGAAAUGCGAUAAGUAAUGUGAAUUGCAGAAUUCAGUGAAUCAUCGAAUCUUUGAACGCACAUUGCGCCCCUUGGUAUUCCGGGGGGCAUGCCUGUUCGAGCGUCAUUAUAACCCCUCAAGCUCAGCUUGGUGUUGGGGCCUGCCGACUGGCAGCCCUUAAAAUCAGUGGCGGCGCCAUCUGGCUCUAAGCGUAGUAAUUUCUCUCGCUAUAGAGUCCCGGUGGAUGCUUGCCAGCAACCCCCAACUUUCUAUGGUUGACCUCGGAUCAGGUAGGGAUACCCGCUGAACUUAAGCAUAUCAAUAAGCGGAGGA